CCCCAUGGGAGACCUUGAUUUGGAAAAUGAUUGCAGUAUGAAGAUGCUGAAGAAGCUUUCAUCUCAUGUCCCAUAGGAAACCUGAAGAGAAUGUGUUAACGAAGGGCUACUCUACCAAGAACACUAAGAGUUAGAUUCCUGGAAUCUUCUCCAAUCUGCUAGACAUCUCCUGAGACUUUGCCUUCACAGGUAAACAGCCCAUGAGUCUUCUGAGGUCUGAUGAAGUCACAUGCAGGAGGGACUCUGCUGUUCUUACACCGAAGGAAAUCAUUUGUGUGGUUCCAUGUCAUGCUGCCUUGAUGAGCAACACCCUACCACACUUCACAAUCCACAUGGUUGAUUAUGAAGCUUAAAGAGUUACAGCAGCCACCUGUGGACGUGAAGCUUUGUAUGGUCUUUGUCGAGCAAUCCCUCUAAAUAUUGAUUUCUUAUAUCACUAUGGCAAUACAGUUGAGUGACACCUGCGUAGAAGGAAUUUGCUAGCACAUAAUACCACUAGUCUAAAAUUUUGGAUACUGUGAAUAAUUGAUAUAUCUGAAUUUGGGCCAAGAAAACAUCAGGCCAUCAAAAUAUAUGUGAUAAAAAUACAGGGUGUUAAUGGAAAGAAACAUCACCAGGUACAGUAUUGAAUAGGGAAAAAGAUAUAGAAUAGUAAGAAUGGGGAGGAAAUUAGGUAAAUGCAUAUAUUCACAUAAACAACUAUGUUUAUGUGAAUAACAUAAACACACAAACACAUAAAAUCCUCCUUACAGUUGUGUUCAGGGAUCUGGAUAUACUCAGCCUUUAUUGUCUGUUAAAACUGCCCUACCCAAUUAUAUAUUCAUGAUGACAGGCAGGCAGCUUUGGGUAUGGUUUGCCUGUGGCUGUGAGUGCUGAGAACCUUCAUUCAGCCUUGACCAGGGACAACUUGAAUCUACUUUAUCUGGCAACACAUAACUAAACAAGUCCUUCCUGGUACUUCUUUGGGGGUUAAUAUAGACUCAAUAAGCAUCUCUACAGAUGUGGAUAAGUGCUUGCUUUUAGCAUGUCAGCAUCAUAAAAGUAUGGUGCUCAAAGAUUAGAAUACUUAACAAAUACUUUAGGAAGAUAAAUGCAAAUAGCAGAAAUUGUUUUAACAACAAGAAACAUUCCCAAACACACACACACACACACACACACACACACACACACACACAAAUGCUAGCAGUUCACUAACAACACUAAAAACACUCAUCCUUACUAUUUUUUGCAUUAACUGUAGGUGCCUGUUAGGGAUUCAGUUCUCUUGAGUGGAAUUGUCAUGGACAGUCUUUCUGAAAGCAUACCUCGUGUUGCUAAAUGGCUGAGAACUGGACAAAACCUUGAGGUGCCACAGACCAUCUGCUAGUGACAAGAAAGUGGCUGACUCAGAAGUGGCCCAACACACUGGCUCCUAGGAGACACACAGGUUACCUUAUACCAGAAUUGCAAACAUCACACCUCUGAAACCCCCUUUUAAAAGGUGGCAUAUUGGGGUCCCUGCCCUGAACCUGGCUACCUGUGCUCAAACGGCACUCUACUGUAACAUGGCUUCUCUUCCCCUGACCUCAGAGCCCUCACAUUCAAGUGGGGACUUUGACACUCCAGUCUUCAGCCCAGGCUUUAGACAAAGUUAACAUGAUUAUAAUUUUGCAUAGAGUAAUAAUAUUCAGAUACUUCAGAACAGAAUGACAUGAUCUCCUUUUGUUGUUCUUUUCAAUGUUAGCCCAGCCAGUGAUUGACUGAAGCCUGUCUUACUGGAUUUCAUACCGGGGAUUCUGUUGACUGCAGGGGGUUAAGGAUGUCACUAUCUUCCCUCAUAGCUCUGCUAUCCCUUUUCUGUACCAUUGAGGACAGGUGAGUUCAUCAUUCAUUCAUUCCUGGAUGAUGCUGAUAGGACACAGUAUUAAUUCCCUUCCUGCCGAGUUGUGGGGUUUAUUUUUGUCACUUUAUUCUGGUCACCUAGUUCCUUCCCCAAAAUUUCCUCUCUCCUUCUCUUAGUCCCUUUUCUUCUUGCUCCAUUUCCUUCUCCCUCCCCACUUUGCCAGUUUCCUGUCUCCAGACAGAAAUGUAAAUAGUUGCUUUGUCUCUUCUUUGGUUUUCUAUUUCAGUUAUUCCAUAGACUUCAAUGAAUCAACAAGCACUUUAUCUUUCUCUGGUCAUUAAUAAAUCUAGCUUUCUUAGUCUGUUAGGUUUCAGAUAGGGCAUGUCUUUCUAGAGGACACUGAGGUAGAUUAUUGGUAAAUAAGGAAUCUGUUAGAAGACUUAUUAAUGCUGUUGAGAGAAAGCAGAGGGUCAACAAUAUGGUGGUGGCUGAGGAAACUUUAGGUCCAAGGAGCCCUGAGAGAUCCCAUGGCCACUUCCUUGAUACACUCACAACACACGUGGCUUAGCAGGAAGCUUCUGACACCUUUUGACAAGGAUGGAGGUUCUUAGCAAUGGCCUUCAGCCUGGCUUUCUGAUUCCCAGACACGCAGAAGUGGAGGACUUGAGAAACAUGAUGCAGGUGGCACCAAUAUCUUAGCAUCAGCACCUUUGGUGUUAUUCAAUUUUCAGAUGAGGAAGCCUGUCUGCACUGUGCCUGCAGAUGCUGGUGGGUCUCUGUGAGAGGGCACAGCUUCUAUCAAGCAUGCCAGAUUCUAACAUUACAUUCCUCCAGUUUCCUAUUUGCCUGAUCUAAAUGCUUAGCUCUCCUAUGGCACCAGCUAAGAUGUUCCUGUGCCACUGAAGCUGCUCUACAAUAUGUUUUAGGACCAUGUAGAUCAAGCCCUGAUGAGAUCACAGUAACUCUGUAGCUACUAGCCCAUAGGGAACUCUUCCAGCAUAUUGAAACCCCCAAAGUAGGUAGGUUUCAUGAAAAUUGGGAACCUAUAGGCAGACUCUGAAUACUUGUCCAUGUUAUGAAUUUAUCAGACUUCAGGCACACCACAGGUCUCUUUCUUCUUCUUCUUCCUGUAGCUAUUUGUUCAGGGGUAACUCUGGGACAUGGAAACAGCGGGUGUUCAUGACAUGACUCCAUCCAUUUGUUCUUUUGCUUCACUGUGACCUUUGAGCUCAGCAGAGCAGCCCUUAGGCAUCUGCACUACAGUCCCCUGACUUGCUCUAAGUGCCUGAGAGGACCCAGAUACAAGAACCUAAAAGUCAAACACUCAAUUUUUAUCCAGCUUCUUACCUGUUCUUCCUUAGUUCUAUGAUUCUGAUAAGGUCAGGUUCCUUGGAAAAGGCUUCUCUGGGCUAAAAUCACGCAAUGAUGAAGAAGGUUCACUAUGAGGAAGAAGAACCCAGAAGUUAAACCAACAAAUUAUCCUCCCGUUGUUUGCAUCCUUGAAGCUCAUUAGUAUUUAGACAUUAAUGAAAUACCUAGGAGACUGAAGAUAGUAGUUUUCCCCAAAGGGGCAUUUAUAAUUUACACACACACACACACACAAUUUAUUUUUGAGACUUUUAUAUAUAAGUGCUGUAUUCUUAUGAUCUCUUCCUCCAAGUCCUCCCGCAUCCCUCACCCCAACUCCUUCUCAAAUUUCUCAUGGUCACCCUCAUCAAAGAGGGUGGUAACGUCAUAUGACUUGUUUGUCAUUGACCUUAUUCAAGAUGGCAACUGUGCCCACAUGGUCACCCUCAUCAUGGCAGAUCACGGUGGUGUUUUCCAUAACCCAAUUUCUUAGCUGUUAUUUUUUUUUCCUAAAACACACAGAUCACGUAAUUUCAGACAUUUAAAAAUCAGUCAGAAACACAAGCCUGUGGCCACAUCCUUCACACAUUUCCAUCUGCACAUACAAAAUAGACAUUUUAACAGAAAGGCUGACAAAACUUUUCCCGGGAAACUGUCAGCUGACCAACUUGAAAAUCCUAAAGUAAGAGUUUACAGUAUGGGGCAGCCAGUAAGAAACCAUAAGAAUGAAAGACGUGUCCUGCCAAGGUGGUAGAGGCAGAGAUGCUAGACGCUGUUCAUAUCGGGCGAGCUGGCUAUGCGCUGCUGAGCAUUGUGCCUCCCGGUGCCAGAGGCAGCACCUAGGACACUAACUAGAGCUCAUGGAGAAGGUGCUGUAGGGGAAACAGAGUAGCAGUGCAGCUGGGCAGGAAAGAGGGACCCCCCAGCUGUGGCAUGGUGGUGGUGGCAGUGGUGGCAGGGAGGAGGGAACAAAGAGAGACAAGACAAAGAAAGGAACAAGAUAUUUUGAGUGAAAGCAUGAGAUGCCUGCAGAAGCAGGGAGCAGAGAGCCUAACCUUGGGUCUCCAGGCUGCUGGGAAAGGACAGCAAUCAGGACAAGGAUGUCUAGCAGAAGCUGCCGAGGUCCCAUGAAAUAUCAGGAUAUGGGGUGCCAGUAAGCAGGCACGUGGAUUGAUAUCUGAGGGCUAUUGGGGCAAAGGUAGAUAAGUUUAGGUGCAUUUUCCACGAGUGAGGUAGAAAAAUAAGAUCCAAGGACUGAAUCCCAGCGACUCAGAAAUUCAUCGAGGACCGAUUGAAAAGGCGCCAGCUGCUAAGUAAUUCAUCAAACACCUAACAGGGGCCAGGGCAUGUGGAUCCCAGAGACAAGAAGACACAACCUGCCCAGUGAGUUGUCAUGCAAAGGGCAGGUGCAGAAGGGCUAAGCCCAAGGGACCCAUGGACCUGAGAGACAAAAUGAAGCCUCUCUUGUGGGGAAUGGCCAGAGAUGGAGAAGAGGGGGUGAUUAUCGAUCAUGCAGCACCUGUAGAAUGAAGGAGCCCAGAGAUCCUUUGCCUAGAAAAGUAAAACUGUUGAAGGUUCCAGGGUCCCAGCAUGUCUCAGACUUCCAGCUGGCAGGAGAAAGUGCCAAGAGAGCCUGUGGAGUUUAAAGGCAUAGCAUGCGGGUGAGAGACUGGUGGGUUGGAGUUGAGAGGGAGAGACACCAUGCAGACAUCACUCUUCUUGAGAGUUUUAAUAGUGGU